rnacentral:rRNA from 1 species
UACAGAGACUGCAAGCGUUAUUCGGAUUCAUUGGGCGUAAAGGGUGCGUAGGCGGCGCGGUAAGUCGGGUGUGAAAUCUCGGGGCUUAACUCCGAAACUGCAUUCGAUACUGCCGUGCUUGAGGACUGGAGAGGAGACUGGAAUUACGGUGUAGCGGUGAAAUGCGUAGAUAUCGUAAGGAAGACCAGUGGCGAAGGCGGGUCUCUGGACAGUUCCUGACGCUGAGGCACGAAGGUCAGGGGAGCAAACGGG